rnacentral:rRNA from 1 species
ACGGAGGGCUCAAGCGUUGUUCGGAUUCAUUGGGCGUAAAGGGCGCGUAGGUGGCCGGGUAAGUCAUGUGUGAAAUCUCGGAGCUUAACUCGGAAACUGCACUUGAUACUGACAUGCUAGAGUACUGGAGAGGAAGGUGGAAUUUACGGUGUAGCAGUGAAAUGCGUAGAUAUCGUGAGGAAGACCGGUGGCGAAGGCG